AUGUCAACAGACACAGGUGUUUCCCUUCCUUCAUAUGAGGAAGAUCAGGGAUCAAAACUUAUUGGAAAAGCUAAAGAGGCACCAUUUGUACCCGUUGGAAUAGCAGGUUUUGCAGCAAUUGUUGCAUAUGGAUUAUACAAACUGAAGAGCAGGGGAAAUACUAAAAUGUCCAUUCAUCUGAUCCACAUGCGUGUGGCAGCCCAAGGCUUUGUUGUAGGAGCAAUGACUGUUGGUAUGGGCUACUUCAUGUAUCGGGAAUUCUGGGCAAAACCUAA
rnacentral:lncRNA from 1 species